rnacentral:rRNA from 1 species
GAUGAACGCUGACAGAAUGCUUAACACAUGCAAGUCUACUUGAAUUUAGGUUUUUUAACUUAGAUUUGGGUGGCGGACGGGUGAGUAACGCGUAAAGAACUUGCCUCACAGCUAGGGACAACAUUUGGAAACGAAUGCUAAUACCUGAUAUUAUGAUUUUAAGGCAUCUUAGAAUUAUGAAAGCUAUACGCGCUGUGAGAGAGCUUUGCGUCCCAUUAGCUAGUUGGAGAGGUAACGGCUCACCAAGGCGAUGAUGGGUAGCCGGCCUGAGAGGGUGAACGGCCACAAGGGGACUGAGACACGGCCCUUACUCCUACGGGAGGCAGCAGUGGGGAAUAUUGGACAAUGGACCAAGAGUCUGAUCCAGCAAUUCUGUGUGCACGAUGACGUUUUUCGGAAUGUAAAGUGCUUUCAGUUGGAAGAAAAAAAGACGGUACCA